AUCUCCGAAAUUUCAGAUGAACCAUUGUAAAGAGCCACGAGCUGUGCGGCAAGAUCCAGAUCAUCGGAUGAUGUAUCAAACAUACUUCUUGGCUUCAUCUCCUUAGCUUCAGUCACAUCUCUUUUGUACCGCACAAUAAAUAAUCGAGGCACAUCACUGAGAUCUCUCAUUGGUCCACAAGUUUCAUAGCUAGAUUCAGAGCUAAUGUAAAAGAAACAAUAUUUCUUCUGGGCUUCACCGUCAAGCCAAGUGAAGGACAAACGUUUGCUUUUAAGUGCGACUACAGCUGGAGAUAUCUUUGGGUUUUCAUCGGCUCCAUAAGCUUCACUAUUGCUGGUUAAAGUUUCUUUAACCCUGCGCAUUGUUUCACGCAUUUUGUUGAGUUCUGCACCCAGCCUUCCAGCUACAAUCGCACAGUACCACGUUA
rnacentral:misc_RNA from 1 species